UAACCCCUUGCCUGGCAUGGGAUCACCAGUGAUCCCAACUUGUAUUGUUUACAUUGAUCGCGUGUUUACAAUAUCUAUUUGUCAAGUUAUAAGGUUAACCAAUACAUUGUUGUAAAGCUACGACAUUGUAUAUUCGUUUCGAUAUAAGCAUUAUACAAUCAAGAAAACUUUGCUGCCGUUUUUUGUUAUUCUGUAUCAACUUUAACAACGUGAUACAACUAUGAAGGGGGUGGGGGGGGCUUACCUUUUUAUGUUGUGUAAAUGUAAUGCUUGGCACAAUAAUGAUGACAUCGGUCUUUUUACCACGUGAAGAGUCCAGUAUAUGAUGUCCAUGGGAAAAAAAUUGUCUAAAAACAUGCAAACUGUUAAAAAUAUCCAUAUUACUUCUAUUGUUUACAUCCUGACAUUUGCUAAUCACAUGGGGCGUUGUCCUGUUUAUUCGACGAACUCUCCACAUCUAGCACAUUAUUCAACGAAAACAACAUAUCAGUGUUUUUAGUAGAGUGUCUGGAAAUGAAUGAGAUCGGUCCAGAAGAUGUCCGAUGAAAACUGGCCAUGUAAUUAUAGAAAGUAUUGAAGGAUGUCAGGCGCUUUUGCUGACGUGUGAUCAUGUAUAAUGCUAAUAUGUGUGGUAAAAAAAUAAACCAAUAGCAAUGGGAAACUUUUCUGUUGCCACCCAUCUGAAGCCUAUGGCAUAACAAAUACGCCCAUGUGCGGAUUUACAUAAUCUCGCGUUUAUAACAGUGUUCCUUUGUGCGCGCAACCAUUUGCUUCAUGGAAAUUUACGCACACGUGACGAGGUUGUCAUGACACCCAGGCUCUGCUCUAUGCUACACCUGCUGGCUGGCGUUCACUCGCUCUGUUUACAUUCGCCUGCUGCAAUGGGUUCACGUCGGGGACAGAAGUUAUUUCUCCUACUGCUGCAAUGGAAUAACUUCUGCAAAGCUGGGAUGAAGAAAACGUGUAUUUUUCAGAAGAGAGUUCUGUAUCCAGCGCCGUCUCUGAAGAAGAGGAUAUGUUUUGGGCAGGUCUCGAUCCAGUUUUAGAUCGUGACGAUGAUGAUGAUGAUGAGAGUACCAGACAGAGGCCUCUCUGGACAACAGACAAACAAAGUGUCCAUGUGUUGCUGCAACAUCUACAGCUGUCUCUGGGAGUUCAAGAGGAAAUAGACAGCCCAGCACUUUGUGUGAUGGCACUUCAGCACCAAUAUUCUGCAACAGGAUUUGGCAAAGGCUAAAAACCAGAAGCCAAUGUCUCAAAAGGCAUUCUGGGAGACUGAUUUUGGAGCUGGCUGGACAUCCCAACAAAAGCAAGGUGCCUGACCCUCCUCCUCGUCGAUCUUGUGAGUGUCACAGUCCUGUGCACAUCAACUUUUUCUGCUCACUUUUUGAGAAAUGUUUAUUACUGUCUUGAUUGCUAAUAACAAAGAGAAACUUUUGUUUGUAGAUGUAUACAAAUAUAUAAAUAAAAACUUUUUAUUUGCUAAA